UGAAAUAUUACUUUUGGAAAAGAUAUUCUUAUUCUAAAUUUUAAACAUUUUAGUACUACGCUUUUUGCGUAUGUACUUUUAUGUACCUUAACAUUCACUCUACUUUGUUAACGAAAAUAAUAAACAAAAUUGAUGACUUAAGUCAGGCGAAGAAUAAGUAAAGUAAUAAGUGAUGCACAUUGUGUUUUUUGGCUGCAUGAAUUGUGGUUGUCUUAACAAGUGAAACACGAAAAAUGGGACAAAGAAAACAAGUGAUGCAGAUUGUAUGUAACAAAAGGCGACUCAACGACGAAACAUCCUUAGAAACGCCUCUAAUACAAAAUAAGAACGUUACAAACUUUUGAUGAAAAUGAAAAGAAAGUAAUGAUUCAGUCUCCAACAUUCCACUGCUAGGCAUUAAUGAAAACAAAUAAACUGGUCUGACGGUUCCAAGCAUACCACCAAAACGCCCAAAUUCUACUUAUUCCUCCUACCAGCUGUGCUCCAUACAGCAGUGUGAGGCACAGAAUGAUUUGCUUAAAUUGUCAGGUAAAGAGCUGAAGCUAACAUAAUUAUGCUUUUACUGUUACAAAGGCUACGAAUACCUUUGAAGACAGUUUAAUAAAUGGUCAUCUAAGUAAACCAGCAAAACAAAUAAUAAUGGAAAUAUAAUACAUAGGUGUUCUAAUCAGGAAAUAUAAGAAACUCGUAUUGUUACCGAUAUACAAAAUUAUUUAGAAGAUAGUAAUGCAGAUUGUACUUCCUAAAUCCACUAACAACCUCCUAAAUCCACCCACU
rnacentral:misc_RNA from 1 species